rnacentral:siRNA from 1 species
UCGGAGUUUUUUCAGCAGUUCU